ACCAGAUCUAAGGGCGUUUGUUGGGCCAAGCCCUUGUUUCAUCCCAGCCAGGCCACUCUGGCGAAAGCAUCCUGGGAAUUCGGCCUGCCAACACAAAGAGCAUUUCCUUGUGUGGGUUUCCUGUUUAGGUCUGCGUAGAAACCCGGCGGAUCGCGUGGCCUCGUAAAUCCCCCAGACAUUACUGAUGUAGAUGCUUUGGCCGGCUGCCAUGGGAAAAUCGCACACAAAUAGAAGAAGGGUGGGGGGAGCACAUUCACUCUCGAAUUCUGGUGGGUUCCGGGCUCCGUGUGUUUGGAUCUGUAAACGGAGGGGGUUGGGCUCGCCACGAUGAUCAUUUAAGGUCCUUUCCAGCUUGGACUUUCUCAGAUUCCACUUCCCUCCGAAGGGCCGCCCGGAGCUCUCACUGUCCGGCUCAGGGAUGGGGGUCUGCGGAAACAGAAGCAGGGGGAAGAUCUCCGGCUGAAAAUCCGGAAGCUUCUCCAGCAUAUCCUAUGGGCUCCUUCACAGAAAGAAGUUUCUGCAUCUGUCCAAUGGGCAUUCAGACUCGUUGGCUUAAUGGAAGAAGCCGUGUUUGCAUUCCUCUUCUGAGGCCGAACCCCCAGAUGCUCUGGCAGAUUCCACGUGGAGCCUGACCAGACAUGAGUAUGGCUGGGAAAGGGACAGGGCAGGCACAAGAUUUCUGCCUGAAGGUUCUCCUGUCCACCGUGCUGUGUUCCAGUGAGGACGUCCUGCUUUUCUCGUACUUCUGCUUCUAGUAAGUUAAUUGGAUUUUCUACCUAAACGUGGAUAAAGUCAUUUACGCAGCAACAUUUCUCCAGAUGAGAUCGCUCGCUUAGAAUGCAGCGUGGCUCUGGUCCUCGGGCUCUCAGGCAUGAAUUGUGACGCUUGUCUGUAAACCUCGUUCCCUUGGACACGUCCU